CCUCUUGUCCUAUCAUUCUGCCUGUGAAGAUAUACUUUGAAAGUAUAUACUGAAAGAUGAUGAAGAAUGUGGAUCUAGACUGGAAAGAGUAAGAGGCACGUAGGACAUGACAAGGCAGGCAAGCUGCAGUUUUCUGUAAGGUUAAGGAGGAUUCGGAUAUCUCUACUUCCUUAUCUGCUCAUUCACAAUUAUUGGUUUCAGCAGAGAGGCAGUCUGACCAAAUGACAUCUGAUGUGGAAGUGCGCAUGAAGCAAAGGUGUGUCAUUGAAUUCCUCCAUGUGGAAAAAAUGGCAUCCAUUGACAUUUAUCUAUGCUUGCUGAGUGUUUAUGGAGACCAAACAGUGGAUGAGCACAGUAAAGUGACCUCCACCAAGUUGUCCGCAGUGUCCUUCCUGUGCAACAAGACUUACGACAAAUGCUAGUGUUCAAAUGGUUAUCCAGAUUGGUUAAGCAUCAACAGGU
ensembl:lncRNA